rnacentral:tRNA from 1 species
GGGCCCAUAGCUCAGUGGUAGAGCGCCUGUUUUGCACACAGGAGGUCAGGAGUUCGAAUCUCCUUGGGUCCA